GUGUCCAUAUCAGACGGGAGGUACUGAAUGUGGCUAUUAUGUGUUGAAGUUCAUGGAAGAGGUGGUUGAAGAAGGAAUUGAAGUACUUGCCAAUGACAACGUUGGGGAAGGCAAAGUGGUAUACACGGAUGAGGAUAUUGAUGGAAUAUGUGAAGGGUGUUCGAGUUAUGGGGCAACGUUUGUUUUUAAGUGACUAUUUUAGAUGUUGAAGUAUGUACGCCAAAUAAUACUUUUUGUUAACUUAAGAUAUUUGAAUUAUAUUUGACGUAUGACUAUGAAAUGAAUUGUUUUGGUUUUUGUGUAUUU